CCUACGGGUGGCAGCAGUGGGGAAUAUUGCGCAAUGGGCGAAAGCCUGACGCAGCGACGCCGCGUGAGGGAUGAAGGUCUUCGGAUCGGAAACCUCUGUCAGCAGGGAAGAACGGUCACUGUGCUAAUCAGCAGUGAAUUGACGGUACCUGCAAAGGAAGCACCGGCUAACUCCGUGCCAGCAGCCGCUGUAAUACGGAGGGUGCGAGCGUUAAUCGGAAUUAUUGGGCGUAAAGCGCUCGUAGGCGGUAUGUCAAGUCAAGGGUGAAAUCCCCGGGCUCAACGGGAGAACUGCCUUUGAAACUGGCAGACUGGAGUGUGUGAGAGGAUAGUGGAAUUCCAGGUGUAGGAGUGAAAUCCGUAGAUAUCUGGAGGAACAUCAGUGGCGAAGGCGACUAUCUAGCAUAUAACUGACGCUGAGGAGCGAAAGCGUGGGUAGCAAACAGGAUUAGAUACCCCUGUAGUC
rnacentral:rRNA from 1 species